GGUCAAGUGACCUCACACGACUUUUCUGUUCCUCGUGUUGGGACAAUAUUUUUUGAAGUGUUUCGAGAAUUUGGAUUAUUAAUUUCUAUGUGGUUUUAAGCUUUGAAUAAUAUUGCGAAAAGGUAAGUUGGAGUGUAAAUAUAUUUUUCAUAGUUGCACUUUCACUUUCAGUUUUUAAUAAAUUUGUUAUUGAUUUGACCCAGAUAAAUACCGUGUCGUGACCUUUACCUGACUAAGUUUGUAAACAAUACACAACAUAUGUAUUAUGUACAAGUGUCGAAGUACCUAUAUAUUAUUACAAAGACACACACACACACACACACACCUACAUCUUCCAUUUAAUUAUCUGAAUUACCCACAUUAACAUUCAUACAUAUAGUAGUAAAUAAUUACUGAAUUACUGUAACACAAACUUCUGCGCUUACAGUCAUUCUUGUUCAUUGUCACAUGAUAAAUUUAUCAAACAAAUUUCUUUCAAUACCUUUCACACAUACUCACACCUUAGGCAUAGCAAUUACAGAUAAUUACUUGCAUAGUACAUUUAUAAUAAAGGAACAAAAAAUCAAUUUUUAUACAUGUAGCUUAUUUUAACUAAAAAUGACUUCAUUAUUAUUCUUCAAAAUAUUCAACACCUUUGUUAAUAAGCUGCUGAUCUCUAAAUUGGUCAUACUAUAUAGUUCAACAGUAUUUUCUACCUCAUAUUCAAAAAAUUUUAAUGUGUCUACUGCUUUGGUUUUUUUAUUGGAAACAUAAUGUGUUUUAUAGACUGAAAAGAACAUUAAGCUAAGCAAAUGAUUUAGCGCAUAGUAUGCAUCGUCAUGAAUUUUGUAUCCUAUAACCAAGGAAUGAAGACUUAUUACAUGUUCGCCUAUGAAGACUUUUUUAAGUAAAACUUUCAUUGAUUUCCAGAAUGUUUUAUGAUAUGAACAUGUAAUGAAAAAAUGAUUAUAAUUAUCUAUUUCAUUGCAAUAUGAACACAAAUUGUUUUGUGAAAUUUUCCACUGAAAAAGCAGCACCUCAUUUGGCAAAAUAAAGUGCAUUAAUUUCCACCUAAACAUUUUUAUUUUAUUAUCUUUAAGAUAUUCAAAAUUAAAUUUAAUAGAGUCUUUAAAUUCAUUUAUUAGUCUCCCUUUGCUUAAGACUCUUUCCCAUUUCAAAAAUCCUACUGGUAUUUCUGUUUUUGACACACUUAAUACUAAAUUGUAUAUGUUUUUAGCAUUAAUAGUUAGAACAUCAUUACAAUCUCUAAGUUUAGUUUUUGUUCGGUUGAUGUGGACUUUUGUUUUGAAUGAUUCUUCUGAUUUUAAUUUGUCUGUCCAUUGCUUUGGUAUAGAUUUUUUUAGUUUUGAGUAUUCAGAAAUCCAAUUCCUUUUAUUUCUUAAUUUUGAAGUAAUCAUUUCUUCUGAUAUAUUUCCUCUUUUAUCUAUUAUGUCAUUUAUAUAUAGUAUGUUACUAUCAAUCCAGUUAUCAAAGAACAAACAUUUUCCUUGAAAUUUUAUGAAUUUAUUUCCCCAUAUAACUUGUUUUCUGAUUUCUAAAUAAUUAUCGAUUUGAUCAUGAUGAUUGUUUUCACAAUUAUUUACAUUUAUCCAUGUUUUUAUCAUCUCUUGAUAGAAAGGUUGGUGUACUGUUCCAUAUGUUUUUAUCUAGCAAUUUUGUGUUAUGUUAUUUACAUUCAUCUUGAAAAAUAAGAAGGUUUUUUUCCGAAUUUAUUAAGGUAUAGUUUUGAUAAUACAGACCAAUUUGCAUUUUCUGAUUCUAAUAUUUUUAUAAUCCAUUUUAAAUGUAUAGAUUUUAUAUAGGAUUCUAUAUCAAUCAUUUUUAACCCCCCUUCUGCGAAGUUUUUUUGUUAUUAUUGACCUUUUUAUUUUAUCUUUUCCUCCGUUCCAAAUGAAUUUAUAUAAGAUUUUAUUUAUAUUUUGUAGAUUUUCUUUAGUAAUGAUACUGUUAGUCGCAAUGUAGGUUAUAUUUGGUAGAAGAAGAGCUUUUACUACUAAUAUUUUUCCAAGUAUUGUUAACUUUCUUUUUGCCCAUCUUUCUACAAGUUUCGUUAAUUUGUCCAACACUUUUUCAAUAUUUAAUGUUUGACACUCUUUUUUGUCAUACCCAAAAAUAUAUUCCAAGGCUUUUGAUUGGUUUGUCGGUCCAAUUUAUAUUUUCAUAUUUAUCUUUUGAACUUUUUAGUCGUCCUAACCAUACCCCUUCCGUUUUAUUUCUAUUAAGCUUAAGUCCUGAAAAACUUCCAAAUGUUUCAAUUAUACUGAGAGCUAAACUUAUUUCUUUCCUUGACUGAAGAAAAAGUGUUGUAUCGUCAGCUAAUUGACAAAUUUUUAAAUUACAAGAUUUUCCAUCUAAUGUAAUUUUUAUACCUUUAAAAUCUUUAUUACUUCUAAGUCUUAUUGCCAUUAAUUCUACUGUUAUAACAAAAAGUAACGCUGAAAUCGGACACCCUUGUCGUAUUCCUCGAUAUAUUUUGAACGGACCUGAGACCCACCCAUUAUUUAAGAUACAUCCCUUAAUGUCGUUAUACAUAGUUUCCAACCCAUCUGAUAAAGCUACUUUUAAAUCCAAACCGUUUCAGUGUUUCCGUCAUGAAAGUCCAUUCUAGUGAGUCAAAAGCUUUACUAAAAUCUAAGAAAAGGAUUGCUCCUUCUAUAUUAAAUUUCUCAGAAUAAUCUAUUAUAUCUUGAAUUUGUCUGAUGUUAAAACCAAUAUAUCUAUUUUUAACAUAUCCUGUUUGAUCUAGACUAAUAAUAGAUGGUAGUACUUUUUUAAGUCUCUGAGCUAACACAUAAGCUAAUAGUUUAGUAUCAAUAUUCAAUAAAGUUAUGGGACGAUAAUUAUCUAAUGAAAGAGGAUCAUUCUUUUUAAAAAUUAGUGAAAUUGCACCUUUCUUUUGUGAGUUUGUAAGUUCUUUUUUUUUUCAUAAUUAUAAUUAAAUACUUUGACAACAAUAUUUUUUUAGGCUCGUCCAAAAUUGCCUAUAAAAUUCCACUGUCAGUCCAUCAAGACCAGGGGAUUUAUUAAGCUUCAUUUUAAAAAUUGCAUCAGUGCAUUCAAUUUCUGUUACUUCCCUUCACAUUGAUUACUAUCGGAAUCUUUAAGCGUUUUUGUUAAUUUUGUUUCAUUAAUAUAUGUUUUAACUUCAUUAUCACAAGGAUUAGUUGACUCAUAAAGUUUUUUGUAAUAUUUCACUUGUAGAUUUAGAAUUUUAUCUUGAUCAGUUGUUGCGAGCCCAUUUUCAUCAUAUAGUUCAGUUAUAAUCUUUUUUGUUUGACGACUUUUUUCUAGUCCCAAGAAGUAUGCACUAUUUUUUUCCCCUUCUUCGAACCAUUUUACCCUUGAUCUUAUUUUUUGUCCUUUAAUUUUGUCUUUAUAUAAACAACUCUAGAUCAUUUUCCAAAUUCUCAAUUUCUUUUUGUAAUUUAUGAUUUACAUCUGUACCAUUAUUUGCUUUAUUAUUGAGAUCAUUUAGCUGUUUUUCUAGGAUAUUUAUUUUAUCUUUUUUUAAUUUGGCUUUUCUUUUACAAUAGUCUAAACUUGCAUCUCUUACCUCUAUUUUCAAAUUGUCCCAUAGUAUCCCUAAAUCAUCACAGUUAAUUGAUUCAUUUUCAUAUCUGUUUAUUAAUUUGUUUAUUUCAUUUACAUAGUCAUCAUUAUUUAAAACACUGGAGUUUAAUUUCCAGUAGCCACGCCCCUUAUUUCCUCUUUCAGUAUUAAUUUUUAAUGAUACUGCAUUAUGGUCAGUUAUUUUCUGUAUACUAAAGGUCUAAUAUCGCAGCUUUUACAAUUUUUUUGUACUUCUUUUGAAAUCAGAAAGUAAUCAAUUCUGGUGGCUUCUGAUCUAUCUUUCCUACACCAAGUAAAUUGCCUUAGAUUUUUAUUUCUACUUCUCCAAAUGUCUAUCAAUUUACAUGAUUUUAUAAGCCCUUUUAAACCUGUAACUGGUUUAUCAAAUUUUUUAGAGGAUUUAGUUUUAUUUUUUGUAUCAAUUAAUGACCAGAUGUCGUUAAAAUCUCCCCCAAGAAUUGUUUGACCUAAUCCAUAUUUAUUUAUAUAUGAUUUAACUGUUUUGAAAAAAACUAUUUCUUUCUCUUGAUCUAUUUGGAGCAUAGAUAUUUACUAGCGUGUAAAUAUUUUCAUUUAUUUCAAUAUUAAUCAAAAUAAAUCUACCAUCAGAAUCUUUGUGCUCAUCAAUAAUUUUAAAAUUUAUUCUAUCUUUUAUCCAUAUUGCUACUCCGCGUGAAUUACUUGUACCAUCACUUCUGAAAAUGUUUUUACCAAGUUCUUUAGACAAAGUAUCUUGCAUUUGUUUAGUAAAAUGAGUUUCCUGUAUAAAAGUUAUAUCACAUUUUUGUUGAUUUGCCCAACUUACUAUUUUAUUAUUUUUUCAGGUUGCUGUAGCCAUUAGCAUUGACCGUACAAAUAUGCAAAUAGUUUUUCAUGGUGGUUUAUAGUUGGAUAUUUUAAAUUUCAUACAAUAGCAUGGUGAGUUAUCUUUCUUACCAUUAAUAAUGAAGCAUUUAGUAUUGGUUUUCUUUAUUGUUAUUUUGUUAUUUCUUUUGACUGACUUAAAACUAAAUUCUUUUAGUCUUGUUUCUGUACAAGAAGAGUUAUUUAUAGGGCAGUUUACAUACUGAUAUAGCAUUUGUUUUACCUGAGAAAUACCGUUAUACGCCUCACUGAUUGCGAUUGGUUUUUCAGAUCGUGGGUAUUUAAACGAUGAAUUUAGGUCUGUGUUUGUUUUUUUCUCAAGUAAUACCGGUUUGUUUACUAUCUCUAUGUUUAUAGUCGGUGUAUUCCUGAUUAAUAUUUUUAGUAGUUUAUUUUCCCGUACCGUAAAAUGUAUUAUUUUAUCGAUCUUUUCCAUAAUUAGCAUUAAUAACCUAUUCUCAUGAUGAUUAUAUUCGUCAAGUAUAUGGUGUUUAUUUUGGAAUAGGUUUAGACUUUCGCUGUCCAGGUACGCUUGCUCUCUACUUUUAGUUUUGUACGUUCUAUAUUUUGACCUCAACGUUAAAGUAUUUAUAGAAUUUCUGGUCAAGGUUAUUUCAUCCGCUUUUGUUGGGGACUUUUUAAGAUGGAUUAAUAUGUUUUCUCGAUCAGGAUGUUUAGUAGCAGAUGGUAAAUACUUUAAUUUAAUAUUAUAGUAACAUGACAUAAGUAUUAUCAUCGACAUGACUAGAUUCUCUAGUACACAAUAAAAAAAAUUUGCCACUUUAUUAAAUACACAUACAGUAAUGUACUUUUUCUUUUUAUUUGUCUUUUUCUUUUUCAGGAUAAAACUUUCAUGAAGAACAGACCAUUUCUGAUCUUCAUUAUUGGAAUUGAUUAGACUAUCUGUCAGUCUGGAUAUUUUAAGUGGACAACCUUCAUCAGCUGUGUCACAUAACAACAAACAUUUUGAGACAUAUCUCGAAUAAUAUAUACAGUUAAAAAUAAAUGAAAUCAGUGCUAUACAUACUGUUUUGUGAAAAAUAUGAUUGACAAAAUGCAUUUUUUUUUUUUUUUAUAAUUUAAAAUAAAAGAGUUCUAGUCUUA
rnacentral:lncRNA from 1 species